UACCAGCACCCCGAGUGGUCGGUACGAUUAUUGGGCCUAAAGCAUCCGUAGCCGGUUCUACAAGUCUUCCGUUAAAUCCACCUGCUCAACAGAUGGGCUGCGGAGGAUACUAUAGAGCUAGGAGGCGGGAGAGGCAAGCGGUACUUAGUGGGUAGGGGUAAAAUCCGUUGAUCCAUUGAAGACCACCAGUGGCGAAGGCGGCUUGCCAGAACGCACUCGACGGUGAGGGAUGAAAGCUGGGGGAGCAAACCGG
rnacentral:rRNA from 1 species